rnacentral:misc_RNA from 1 species
GAUGAAGAACGCAGCGAAAUGCGAUAAGUAAUGUGAAUUGCAGAAUUCAGUGAAUCAUCGAAUCUUUGAACGCAUCUUGCGCUCCUUGGUAUUCUGAGGAGCAUGCCUGUUUGAGUGUCAUUAAAUUCUCAACUACACUGACUUUGAAUUGGUGUGGCUUGGAUUUGGGGGGAAAAUUGUUGUGGGCUUUUUGUAUAGUCUGCUCCCCUGAAAUUGAAUAGCGGUACCUUUGUGGAACUGUCUACAGGUGUGAUAAUUAUCUACAUCUUAGACAUCUGCUGGAAUGCUGCUUUCUAAACCUUACUUGUAUUGACAAUCUUGACCUCAAAUCAGGUAGGACUACCCGCUGAACUUAAGCAUAUCAAUAAGCGGAGGA